AAAAUGUGACCAAUUUCAUGUCAUUUGGAUUUGAAUUGAUAGAGUUAUGCAUUUUUGAAGUUUGGGAAAAUCACUUGAUCAAUAGUAUAGGUCAAAAGUGACCUACAAUGUAGCCUCAUAUCACAUGCUCAAAAAAGUUGAAUUAGCUCCCAUUCCAAACAUAAAAGUUGAAGUAGACACAUUACAUUUGAUUGUUCAACUUGGAAAUCUUCCAUC
rnacentral:lncRNA from 1 species